GACGCCGCGUGAGGGAUGACGGCCUUCGGGUUGUAAACCUCUUUCACCAGGGACGAAGCGKAAGUGACGGUACCUGGAGAAGAAGCACCGGCCAACUACGUGCCAGCAGCCGCGGUAAUACGUAGGGUGCGAGCGUUGUCCGGAAUUACUGGGCGUAAAGAGCUCGUAGGCGGUUUGUCGCGUCGUCUGUGAAAUUCUGCAACUCAAUUGCAGGCGUGCAGGCGAUACGGGCAGACUUGAGUACUACAGGGGAGACUGGAAUUCCUGGUGUAGCGGUGAAAUGCGCAGAUAUCAGGAGGAACACCGGUGGCGAAGGCGGGUCUCUGGGUAGUAACUGACGCUGAGGAGCGAAAGCGUGGGUAGCGAACAGGAUUAGAUACCCUGGUAGUCCACGCCGUAAACGGUGGGUACUAGGUGUGGGUUCCUUUUCACGGGAUCCGUGCCGUAGCUAACGCAUUAAGUACCCCGCCUGGGGAGUACGGCCGCAAGGCUAAAACUCAAAGGAAUUGACGGGGGCCCGCACAAGCGGCGGAGCAUGUGGAUUARUUCGAUGCAACGCGAAGAACCUUACCUGGGUUUGACAUACACCAGAC
rnacentral:rRNA from 1 species